rnacentral:SRP_RNA from 1 species
UCGUGCUAGACGGGGAGCUAGCGGUGCCCUGUAACCCGAAAUCCGCUUACGCGGGGUUGAAUUCCCGCCAAGAGGGUUGAAGCGCAGUCAAAGACGGCGGCCAGGCGGGCAGAUUGGCUCCCACGCAACAGACGGUGGUGAACCCCGUCAGAUCCGGAAGGAAGCAGCGGUAAGCCGGGCCGGCUGUGUCGUGGCGGCUGCUAAUCCUUCACCCCCUGGUUGGCCUACUUGCCUGGAUCAGACCCGAAGGAGGGUGCACGG